rnacentral:rRNA from 1 species
GACGAACGCUGGCGGCGUGCUUAACACAUGCAAGUCGAACGAAGAGCGAUGGAAGCUUGCUUCUAUCAAUCUUAGUGGCGAACGGGUGAGUAACGCGUAAUCAACCUGCCCUUCAGAGGGGGACAACAGUUGGAAACGACUGCUAAUACCGCAUACGAUCUAAUCUCGGCAUCGAGGAUAGAUGAAAGGUGGCCUCUACAUGUAAGCUAUCACUGAAGGAGGGGAUUGCGUCUGAUUAGCUAGUUGGAGGGGUAACGGCCCACCAAGGCGAUGAUCAGUAGCCGGUCUGAGAGGAUGAGCGGCCACAUUGGGACUGGGACACGGCCCAGACUGCUACGGGAGGCAGCAGUGGGGAAUCUUCCGCAAUGGACGAAAGUCUGACGGAGCAACGCCGCGUGAGUGAUGACGGCCUUCGGGUUGUAAAGCUCUGUUAAUCGGGACGAAAGGCCUUCUUGCGAAUAGUGAGAAGGAUUGACGGUACCGGAAUAGAAAGCCACGGCUAACUACGUG